UAGGGAAUCUUCGGCAAUGGGGGCAACCCUGACCGAGCAACGCCGCGUGAGUGAAGAAGGUUUUCGGAUCGUAAAGCUCUGUUGUAAGAGAAGAACGUGUGUGAGAGUGGAAAGUUCACACAGUGACGGUAACUUACCAGAAAGGGACGGCUAACUACGUGCCAGCAGCCGCGGUAAUACGUAGGUCCCGAGCGUUGUCCGGAUUUAUUGGGCGUAAAGCGAGCGCAGGCGGUUUAAUAAGUCUGAAGUUAAAGGCAGUGGCUUAACCAUUGUUCGCUUUGGAAACUGUUAAACUGGAGUGCAGAAGGGGAGAGUGGAAUUCCAUGUGUAGCGGUGAAAUGCGUAGAUAUAUGGAGGAACACCGGUGGCGAAAGCGGCUCUCUGGUCUGUAACUGACGCUGAGGCUCGAAAGCGUGGGGAGCAAACAGG
rnacentral:rRNA from 1 species